AGAAUUUAAUUUUUAUUUCUGAGUGCAUAACAACACUAAGGUUUGCUUAAUUUUUCUUUUAUUGAGUAUUGUGUUCUUUUCAAGCUUUCAUUAUGAUUCGCAACACUAUGAUUGGGAAGUUGAGAAGGGAUCAAGAGGUUCGAAAUGUUCGAGAUCAACAACGUGACACUAUUCUAGACAUGACCAACAAAAAUUUGGAAUGUUAAGUACCAAAAUUGAGUGUUGGAAUCGUAAUUGGGAAAGCGAAAGCGGAUCGUAAAGUUUGUCAAAGUCGCAGAUUUGACUUAGGGCUUUAAAUGUCGGAAAGAAACUUGGAUUUUGACACAACCUGAAACGAAAUUGAAUCCAAGUAAGAUAAAAUAAUUAAAAUAAAUAACUAAAAUAAAAUAAUAAAUCAAAGAUUAAGGAAUCGAAUAAAGAAGAUAAAUGGAAAGAUAGAACGUGGCAUGUAGAAGUCCUAAGAAGCCUUGGAAACACGAAGAAUCCACAACCCCCUUCAAGCGACUCUAAUUUCCCCUUCAAGAUAGAAACUUUGGCAAGAAAAAAGUUUGAAGAUGAUCCCCACAAUCUAGAAAGAUUGUUAAAACUCUUUUAAAAGAAACUCAAGAUAAAUUCUUGAAAAGAAAAACCUAGAGAGAACUUAUUAACUCAAAAGAGAAAUAGAAUAAUAAUGAAUUGUCUAAAUAAACUCUUAAGUAUAUUAGAACUCUAAUUUAAUCUAAACAAGAAGUAGCUUUAAACUAAACUUUUUUAUUAACAUAAAACUCCUAAAUAACUUAAAAUACUUAAUAAUUAUAAAAAAUUCAGAAUAAAAUAAUAAUAAAAUAAUAAGAGAUGAUAAAUACAAUAUUGGGCUCAUAUAUAAUAAAAAUUAAGUCUAGAACCCAAACCAAUAUGAUUUAAACUCGAAUUAAAAUCCCGAAACUCGUAAUUCUUGUUAUAAUCACGUUCAGAAAUUCUGCUUGCGCAGUAUUCAUUAAAAGAAUCAUAACUUGAGCUCCCAAACUCAAAAUUGAGUUAUUCAAAAUGAGUUUUGAAGCUAAGAGAUAGAUCUUCAAACGCCAUGAGACAUCUCAACCCAGAAAUGCCAAGAUCCCAUCCAAAAAUUCAUCGCAAGUUUGCUAAUUUCCCAUGUAACACCCCUUACCCAUAUUCGACACCGGAAUAGGGUACGAGGUAUUACCAGAACACGUACACUUGUAAACGUAUUGAACCGAGUUAUAAAAUUCUAUUAAUUAUUAAAAAUUUCAAAUUUUUAACAUGCUUUUAUAAUUCUUCACAAUAUAAAUAAUACAACAUUUCCUGCCAACCACAAUCGAGCUUCCGAUAAUCAUUUCACUGCAUCUAAUAAUUGUACAUAUUACCAAUAAUAAUUCAAUUCCAAUAAUAAAACACAUAUCUAUAUAAUAUUCAUCACCAAAUAACAUUCACUUUAAUUAAAAUUAUACAGAAUAUAGUUCAUACGAACUUACCAGGCUAAAUUGUAGAAAUACCAAAAUUUAGGGACAUUUUGGUAAUUUUCUAUUUUCUCGAAUUUCCACCCAAUCUUGAUCUAAAUUAAUAUUUCAUUAAAUUUACUAAUUUAAAUAAUAAAACAAUUCAUUUCAUGCAAUUUGGUCACUUUUUGACAUUUUUACAAAUUUACCCUUAAAGUUUCACAUUUGUUCAAUUUAGUCUCUGAACCUAAAACAUGUAAAUUGGUCAUUUUUAAUGAAAACUCAUGCUAGUUGAAUAAUCAUAUAUUUUCCUCCUCCUCCUCUCCAUUCCACAUCCUUAAUAUAUAUAACAUGCUUAUAUGUAACAUUAUCUAUAAUUUCACAUUUAUUUAUAUUCAUUCAAAGCUGUCCACUUGAGUCAUAGUCACUAAAUUGUUUAUAUAUUGAGCUACAUAACUCCAAAUUGAUAUCCGUUAAUUUUAUAUGAAACUAGACUCACAUAUAUUCUUACCAUAAAAUUUUCAAAAUUUUUUGUUUAGCAAAUAAGUACAGUUUAUUCUUUAAAGUCAUCCAUGUUCUUCUGCCUAACAGUUCCGACCCUUCUUUACUAAAAAUUAAUUAUCUCCUCGUACAGAAUUUGAAUGAUGUUACCAUUUGUUUCUAUUGAAAAUAACCUAAUUAAGGAUUUAAACAUAUAAAUUUAAGACUCUAAUUAUUUUUAUACAAUUUUUUAUGAUUUUCCAAAGUCAGAACAGGGGAACCCAAAAUCAUUCUGACCUUAUCUCACAAAACUUAUUAUAUCUCAUAAUUUAAAACUCCAUUGCUUACACUGUUUAUUCUAUGGGAAACUAGACUCAAUAAGGUUUAAUUUCAUAUUUUUUCAUCUUUUAAUUCAAUUUAUACGAUUUUUGGUAAAUUUUCAAAGUCAGACUACUGCUGCUGUCUCAAAACUAUUUUAGUGUAAAAUGUUGAUAACUAAAUUUAUAACACUUUCCUUUCCUUUCUCUUCAAUAUUUUCCAUCACUUUCUCUUAUUUCCCUUUACUAACAUAUCAAGAACAUAUAACCUUAUAUACUAAAACCCUACAUUAACAUCAUUCUCAUACUUUUUCAAUAAUAUCAAACUCAAAAAUAUAUUGAAAUCUUGAUGUUCUUACCUUGCUCAAUUGAUUUCAAUUUUUAACUUCAUUUUCUCUCUCCUCCAGCCUCUAUUUCUUGAAUCUAACUUGAUAUUCUAGCUCCCCAUAGUCUCCUUGUUAUCUUUCUCCCUUGAUGGCUAUAGAAAUUCUUUUGAUUUCUAGGUGGAAAUGGUAGAUUUUUU
rnacentral:lncRNA from 1 species